rnacentral:rRNA from 1 species
CAGCAGCCACGGUAAUACAGAGACUGCAAGCGUUAUUCGGAUUCACUGGGCGUAAAGGGUGCGCAGGCGGCCAUGUGUGUGAGGCGUGAAAGCCCGAUGCUUAACAUCGGAAUUGCACCUCAAACUACAUGGCUAGAGCAUUGGAGAGGGUAGCAGAAUUCAUGGUGUAGCAGUGAAAUGCGUAGAUAUCAUGAGGAAUACCAGAGGCGAGGGCGGCUACCUGGACAAUUGCUGACGCUCAGGCACGAAAGCGUGGGGAGCAAAAGGGAUUAGAUACCCCCGUAGUCCCUGUCUCUUAUAC